rnacentral:rRNA from 1 species
CAGCCGCCGCGGUAAUACGUAGGGUGCAAGCGUUAAUCGGAAUUACUGGGCGUAAAGCGUGCGCAGGCGGUUCGGAAAGAAAGAUGUGAAAUCCCAGAGCUUAACUUUGGAACUGCAUUUUUAACUACCGGGCUAGAGUGUGUCAGAGGGAGGUGGAAUUCCGCGUGUAGCAGUGAAAUGCGUAGAUAUGCGGAGGAACACCGAUGGCGAAGGCAGCCUCCUGGGAUAACACUGACGCUCAUGCACGAAAGCGUGGGGAGCAAACAGGAUUAGAUACCCUGGUAGUCCACGCCCUAAACGAUGUCAACUAGCUGUUGGGGCCUUCGGGCCUUGGUAGCGCAGCUAACGCGUGAAGUUGACCGCCUGGGGAGUACGGUCGCAAGGCUGAAACUUAAAGGAAUUGGCGGG